CGACGAAAAGCUCUGGGAUUCCAAGCAUGAGAGUCUGAGCGUUGAAAUUGAGCGAGUUAAGAAAGAAAACGACAACAUGCAUAUUGAACUAAGGCAUCUUAAGGGUGAGGAUCUCAACUCCCUUUACCCAAAGGAAUUGAUUCCUAUUGAGGAGGCACUCCAGAUUGGGUCACCAGCGUAAGGGAAAAGCAAAUGGAAAUCUGGAAGAUGCACAAGAAGAAUGAAAAAUUUCUAGAGGAGGAGAACAAACAACUGACUUAUAUGCAGUCAACUCUUAAUGGUUCAACAUCUAAUCUUGCGGACUCCUCAGGCCGACCCUAUACCACAU